UACGUAGGGGGCAAGCGUUGUCCGGAAUUAUUGGGCGUAAAGAGCGCGCAGGCGGUUUUGUAAGUCCACCGUGAAAGCUUACGGCUCAACCGUAACGGGUCGGUGGAUACUGUAAGACUUGAGGGCAGGAGAGGAAAGUGGAAUUCCCAGUGUAGCGGUGAAAUGCGUAGAUAUUGGGAGGAACACCAGUGGCGAAGGCGACUUUCUGGACUGUUACUGACGCUGAGGCGCGAAAGCUGGGGAAGUGAACGGGAUUAGAUACCCCGGUAAUCCCAGCCGUAAACGAUGGGUACUAGGUGUAGGGGGUAUCGACCCCCCCUGUGCCGGAGUUAACGCAAUAAGUACCCCGCCUGGGGAGUACGGUCGCAAGACUGAA
rnacentral:rRNA from 1 species